GACGAACGCUGGCGGCGUGCUUAACACAUGCAAGUCGAACGGAAAGGCCCUGCUUGCCGGGUACUCGAGUGGCGAACGGGUGAGUAACACGUGGGUGAUCUGCCCUGCACUUCGGGAUAAGCCUGGGAAACUGGGUCUAAUACCGGAUAGGAUCCAUUUUUAGUGUGAUGGUUGGAAAGUUUUUUCGGUGUAGGAUGAGCUCGCGGCCUAUCAGCUUGUUGGUGGGGUAACGGCCUACCAAGGCGGCGACGGGUAGCCGGCCUGAGAGGGUGGACGGCCACAUUGGGACUGAGAUACGGCCCAGACUCCUACGGGAGGCAGCAGUGGGGAAGAUUGCACAAUGGGCGCAAGCCUGAUGCAGCGACGCCGCGUGGGGGAUGACGGCCUUCGGGUUGUAAACUCCUUUCGCUAGGGACGAAGCUUUUUGUGACGGUACCUAGAGAAGAAGCACCGGCUAACUACGUG
rnacentral:rRNA from 1 species